rnacentral:rRNA from 1 species
AGAAUCAACGCUGGCGGCGCGCCUAACACAUGCAAGUCGAACGAGAAAGUGGAGCAAUCCAUGAGUAAAGUGGCGCACGGGUGAGUAACACGUGACUAACCUACCCUUGAGUGGGGGAUAACCUAGGGAAACCUGGGCUAAUACCGCAUAAUACCGAGAGGUCAAAGGAGCAAUUCGCUUAAGGAGGGGGUCGCGGCCGAUUAGUUAGUUGGCGGGGUAAUGGCCCACCAAGACUAUGAUCGGUA